CUUUUUAGAGGACUGCAGGGACAGAAAGGGAUUAUUCAGAAACCUCAUGGUGUUAUUGGUUUGAAUUUUCCAGUGCAUCCACUGAUAUGUGAUGCAACAACUCCAAGAAGCAUCCAGUCUUCCAAGCAGCGAGGCAAAGUAUUGGAGUUUCAAGGCACAAACGUGGAGGAAAAUGUGAUUUUUUUAGCGUGAAAUGUUCAGCGUUGGGAUCCGAAAAUGAGACGACAGGCCUGUCAGCUCCGGGACGCGGCUGUGACUCAUCUGUCUGUCACAUUGACGACGCCAGACAAAAAGACAGCCAGCGAGUCCGUCUCCAUCUCCGGGGAGUGAAUCACCGUUCUGAUGCCGGCCGCCUCGUCCCAAACCAGCCAAUCUGUGCCGUCCGCGCCGCGUCGCCUGACAGGUGGCACUUGGCUGAUUGCAGAUAAGAUAUUGCAGAUAUUUCCAUGAGUUUUAUCGAUGUGCGGCUGAUUGGCAGCGAACAAGACAGAAGUCAUCGAAACUAGAGAUUAAGAACAUAACCUCACGUUUACAAUGUCCACACAGACUUCAAUAGGACCAGAGGUGUCGCCCCCCUGGUGGCCAUUAGAGAGAAUGCAGCUUUGAGCCGCUCUUUUUCCAGCCGGAGGGUGGAGUCAAACGACGAUGAAUGCGUUGUGAUACCGCGCGAGUUCCAAGUCAUACACAAACCAAACACACACAAACCACACACACCGAAAGGCGAUUCAUGUUUCCAUUGGCUCGCAGGGUGGCCGACGCAGUGGACAGAUUUUAAAUGGCAGCCCGUUUGAAUUCUAGCCCAUCUUAAAUUUAGUACGUGCGCAGACCUACAAGCAUGUUGAUAUUGGUGAAAAUGGUGCACCUAAAAUUAUGCAAACUCUAUUUUUCCGUCGCCACAGCACAAGGUUCAUGCUCUUUAAAGGAACGGCGAGCGCGCGUCUUGACAUUGGCCGCAGCGCGGCGGCGGUUGAGGUCGAAGGGUUACGCAUAAUCCAUCUCCUCUUGUCUCACGAGUGCGGUUUCAAACGUCAUUUCUGGAAAAAAAAAAAAACGCAUAUCCCAUGAUCCUUUGCCAAAACAUCGCGGUGACGAGCGGCAGCUGUCAGGGGGGGGGGGGGGCGCAGCCCGCCCCUUUGAAGCUGUGUUGUGAAAACACCGAGCGUGUGGAUCUGUGUCAAGGCUGCAUGACUGGACUCGCUGUGCUUUGUGUGUGUGUGUGUGUGUGUGUGUGUGUGUGUGUGUGUGUGUGUGUGUGUGUGUGUGUGUGUGUGUGUCUGUGCGUGCGUGAUGGCCUUCGGCGAACACAGUGAGGUUUUCCAGCCCACGCUGAGGCGACUCUGGUUGGGCCGGCGAGGCUCAGUGUGACCUGCCAAAACACACAGCAGCAACACGCCGACGG
ensembl:lncRNA